rnacentral:rRNA from 1 species
CCUACGGGAGGCUGCAGUGGGGAAUAUUGCACAAUGGGGGAAACCCUGAUGCAGCAACGCCGCGUGAGCGAUGAAGGCCUUCGGGUCGUAAGGCCCUUUCCUAAGGGAAGAAUAUUGACGGUACCUUGGGGGGAAGCCCCGGCUAACUACGUGCCAGCGGCCGCGGUAAUACGAAGGGGGCUAGCGUUAUCCGGAAUUCCUGGGCGUAAAGGGUGCGUAGGCGGCCCUGCAAGUCAGAGGGGAAAGGCUACGGCUCAACCGUAGUAAGCCUUUGAAACUGGAGGGCUUGAGUGCGGGAGAGGAGAGUGGAAUUCCCAGUGUAGCGGUGAAAUGCGUAGAUAUUGGGAGGAACACCAGUUGCGAAGGCGGCUCUCUGGACUGUAACUGACGCUGAGGCACGAAAGCGUGGGGAGCGAACAGGAUUAGAUACCCCUGUAGUC